rnacentral:rRNA from 1 species
UACAGGGGGUGCAAACGUUGCUCGGAAUUAUUGGGCGUAAAGCGCGCGUAGGCGGCUACUUAAGUCGGAUGUGAAAGCCCCUGGCUCAACUGGGGAAGUGCACCCGAAACUGAGUAGCUUGAGUGCAAAAGAGGGCCGCGGAAUUCCCGGUGUAGAGGUGAAAUUCGUAGAUAUGAUGUAGAACACCGAUUGCGAAGGCAGCUCACUAAAGUGUAACUGACGCUGAGGCACGAAAGCGUGGGGAUCAAACAGG